rnacentral:rRNA from 1 species
AGUGAACGCUGGCGGUAGGCCUAACACAUGCAAGUCGAACGGCAGCACAGUAAGAGCUUGCUCUUACGGGUGGCGAGUGGCGGACGGGUGAGGAAUACAUCGGAAUCUACUUUUUCGUGGGGGAUAACGUAGGGAAACUUACGCUAAUACCGCAUACGACCUACGGGUGAAAGCAGGGGACCUUCGGACCUUGCGCGAUUGAAUGAGCCGAUGUCGGAUUAGCUAGUUGGCGGGGUAAAGGCCCACCAAGGCGACGAUCCGUAGCUGGUCUGAGAGGAUGAUCAGCCACACUGGAACUGAGACACGGUCCAGACUCCUACGGGAGGCAGCAGUGGGGAAUAUUGGACAAUGGGCGCAAGCCUGAUCCAGCCAUACCGCGUGGGUGAAGAAGGCCUUCGGGUUGUAAAGCCCUUUUGUUGGGAAAGAAGAGCAGCAGGUUAAUACCCCGCUGUUCUGACGGUACCCAAAGAAUAAGCACCGGCUAACUUCGUG